rnacentral:misc_RNA from 1 species
CAGCAACAGCCGCAAGCUUUGUCAGUGGAAAUAUUUGUAUGUCUUGCGUCUUUGUUGGUGGUUGUGUAUGUGAACUCUGGAUGGCGCGAAAUGUUUGUUUACAUGGUUUUGCGCUGUUACAAGCAAAAUUGUGUCAAAAGAUUUAUGAAAAAUGACUAGGAAAGCGGAAACAGUAUUUUGUGUGUCAGCCAAAGUGGUUGUUCACCCAAUAUAAAAAUUUUCCCUUUCACAGUCUUGGAUCAGAAUGGAUGUGUAUCCAGAAGCCGAAACCGAAACGACACUAGAUUUGAAAAAUUUCACGUGCCGAAGUGAAGAAACAAAACAAAGUGUUAUCCAUCAAAUUGACAAGGAAUCUUCGAGCAAGCUUUGCUCAGCACAGGUAGUUUUAAAUUUGGCAGUUGCUGUUAAAGAACUUGUUGAAAAUAGUUUGGACGCUGGUGCACGCAAUAUAGAUGUAUUUUUGAAAGACUAUGGAAGUGAUACAAUAGAAGUCUGUGAUGAUGGAUCGGGCGUCGUUGAAAGAGAUUUUCAGGCUUUGACCCUGAAACACCAUACCUCUAAACUAAUGGAUUACUCAGAAUUAAGUUUUGUUGAAACCUUUGGGUUUCGUGGAGAAGCACUGAACUCUUUGUGUGCCCUUGGUGACUUGACAAUUUUAACACGCCACAGUAGUGCCAGUUGUGCAACAAGACUGGAAUUUGACCAUAAUGGACACAUAACAAUGCAAACACCAUGUGCUCGUCAGGUAGGGACAACGGUCUGCAUCAAGAACCUAUUUGUAACAUUUCCUGUGAGACAUAAGGACUUCCAGCGCAACUUGCGUAAAGAAUUCAGCAAAAUGGUGCAGAUUCUACAUGCUUAUUGUCUCAUCUCCACCGGUGUAAGGAUCACAUGUACAAACCAGCCAAAGAAGGGUAGCCGCACUAUUGUUGUUAGUACUCAGGGAAGCAAUACUAUAUCUGAAAACAUUACCUGCAUAUUUGGUUCAAAACAGGUUCAUGGACUUAUGAAGUUAUCUCAAGUAAAACCAAGUGUAGAAAUUCUGCAGAGCUUAGGCCUCUCUGAAAAACUUGCUGAUGCAGAUUACCCAUUCACACUGGAGGGCCUUGUAUCGUCAUGCUCUCAUGGGGAAGGCAGAUCAGCUCCUGACAGACAGUUUUAUUAUGUGAACUCUAGGCCAUGUGAGCCAGCACAGGUGAUGAAAGUAGUGAAUGAUGUUUAUCAUGUGUUCAACAAAAAGCAGUACCCAUUUGUUUUUAUGAAUAUAAAAAUGGAGAAAGAUAAUGUUGAUGUGAAUCUAACUCCUGACAAGAGGCAAGUUUUGCUGAACCAAGAAAAACUUCUAUUGGCAUCUAUAAAGGGAUCAUUGCUGAAACUAUAUGAGUCGGUUCCUUCAACACUCAAGGUGAAUAACGUACCAUCUUUUACACAAUCUCCUACAUCAUCACCAUCAUCAGAAUCACCUCUAUCAAGGUUAGAUAUCAUACAACAGUGGCGCCGUUCUCCAAGCAGUGAUUCUGGGUCCCCAGUGAGUGGUGUUGGUUCUCCUUCAAGUAACUAUAGUUCUCCAGGAGGAGCCAUUGGAUCUCCAGGAACUCUUGGGUCAUCAAAGAGAGGCAUUAAAAGGACUCUUGAGAUUAUUCGCCAAGAUAAAUAUGGCCGAUCAAAACAGCAUUGUCUGAACAACUACUUUACACAUAUGAGUGUGAAAAAAACAGGUGUAUCUGAAGUAGUAGACACAGCUGCACAAGCACACACCAAAAAGGGAAAUGAUGACAACAGUUUUGAAAGGAAUGUGUACUCAUUCAGCAGAACUGUGUCUGUCCUUUCUGAUGAGUCACCUGAAUCUAUUAAAACUCCUUUUGAAUAUGGAGAAGAAUCUGAGGAACAGAAUCUAAACAGUAUAGUGUCUACAUUCAGUCGUACUACAUCUGUUUCCUCUGCAGCUGAAAGUAAAAACAGUGUGUCAGAUAGAAUCCAGACAUUUUCAGAAAAUGUGAAUCUAAUCAGUGAGGAUUAUUUAGAGCAAAGAACUUGUGUGACCAGGAGAACUACAAAUAAGACUCCUGAUGUGGAAACUGAAAUAUUUGUUGGUAGUAGUAAUAAUGUUACUUCAGAAGAACCCAGACCUGUAGAUGUUACAAGUGAGAUAAACUCUAUAGAUGAAGGAGUGAUCAUUACAGAAGAUGAAGUAGGUGACCAUGAAUUUGUCACUUCUGAAGUUACUUAUGUAUCGGAACCUAUUAGAUGGAAUGUUGAUUUAAAUUCCAUUACUGAAGAAAUGGAAGCUUUUAAACAGUUGUCCAAGUCUACAGCAGAUGCAGAAUGUAACUUUAAAUUCAAAGCUGAAAUUGAUCCAGCGCAGAACUCUCUUGCAGAACAAGAGCUUAGGAGAGAGAUUACAAAAGACAUGUUUGCUAAGAUGAAAAUAAUUGGGCAGUUUAAUAAAGGUUUCAUUAUAACACAUUUGGAUUCCGAUCUCUUCAUCAUUGAUCAGCAUGCAUCAGAUGAAAUUUACAAUUUUGAAAUGUUGCAAAAAACUGUAUCACUUCAAAACCAGAAACUUGUUGUGAGCCUGGAUGUUUACCAUCUAAAUACUGGCAUUACAUACACCUUGGUACUCAAACCUCAGUCCACUGGCACAUAAAAGGCACAGAAACAGCACAGGAACUAACCUCAAACACCUCAGUAUCAGAAACAGCAAGCCAACUGACCAAUGACAAUACAAAUUCAUUGAAGGUCUGUGGAAUUAUACAGCAAACAUCAACCACUGUGGGCCACCAGUUCAUCAGUAUAGGCCACAGAAGUUAGAUCUCACUUAUAUUAAGGAAUGUUUACUCAUUGAAAAUUUGGACAUUUUCAAUAGAAAUGGUUUUGAAUUUAUUAUUGAUGAAACAGCUGAACCAACAAAGAGGGUGAAACUGA